rnacentral:rRNA from 1 species
UACGAAGGGGGCUAGCGUUGUUCGGAUUUACUGGGCGUAAAGCGCGUGUAGGCGGGCCGUUAAGUUGGGGGUGAAAUCCCGGAGCUCAACUCCGGAACUGCCUCCAAAACUGGCGGCCUGGAGCAGAGGAGAGGCGAGUGGAAUUCCGAGUGUAGAGGUGAAAUUCGUAGAUAUUCGGAGGAACACCAGUGGCGAAGGCGACUCGCGGGACUCUUGCUGACGCUGAGACGCGAAAGCGUGGGGAGCAAACAGG